UUCAGGAGUGGAGCUGGUCUCUGAUGGACUGAAGAGUCCACAAUGCACUCUGGAGACUCUCAGUCUGUCAGGCUGUCUGAUCUCAGAGAAGGCUGUCUUCUCUGGUCUCAGCUCUGAGCUCCAACCCCUCCCAUCUGAGAGAGCUGGACCUAGCUACAA